GACGAACGCUGGCGGCGUGCUUAACACAUGCAAGUCGAACGAAGAGCGAUGGAAGCUUGCUUCUAUCAAUCUUAGUGGCGAACGGGUGAGUAACGCGUAAUCAACCUGCCCUUCAGAGGGGGACAACAGUUGGAAACGACUGCUAAUACCGCAUACGAUCUAAUCUCGGCAUCGAGGAUAGAUGAAAGGUGGCCUCUGCACGUAAGCUAUCACUGAAGGUGGGGAUUGCGUCUGGUUAGCUAGUUGGGGGGGUAACGGCCCACCAAGGCGAUGAACAGUAGCCGGUCAGAGAGGAUUGACGGCCAAAUUGGGACUGGGAAAAGGCCCAGACUCCUACGGGGAGCAGCAGUGGGGAAUCUUCCGCAAUGGACGAAAGUCUGACGGAGCAACGCCGCGUGGGCGAUGACGGCCUUCGGGUUGUAAAGCUCUGUUAAUCGGGACGAAAGGCCUUCUUGCGAAUAGUGAGAAGGAUUGACGGUACCGGAAUAGAAAGCCACGGCUAACUACGUG
rnacentral:rRNA from 1 species